rnacentral:rRNA from 1 species
UACGGAGGGUGCAAGCGUUAUCCGGAUUUACUGGGUUUAAAGGGUGCGUAGGUGGGUCUGUAAGUCAGUGGUGAAAUCUUCAAGCUUAACUUGGAAACUGCCAUUGAUACUAUAGGUCUUGAAUUAUCUGGAGGUAAGCGGAAUAUGUCAUGUAGCGGUGAAAUGCUUAGAUAUGACAUAGAACACCAAUUGCGAAGGCAGCUGACUACGCGAAUAUUGACACUGAUGCACGAAAGCGUGGGGAUCAAACAGG